rnacentral:rRNA from 1 species
UACGUAGGCAGCAAGCGUUGUUCGGAAUUACUGGGCGUAAAGAGUACGUAGGUGGUUUGCCAAGUCCGAUGUGAAAUCUCCUGGCUUAACUGGGAGGGUGCGUUAGAAACUGGCAGGCUUGAGUGUGGGAGAGGAGAGCGGAAUUCCUGGUGUAGCGGUGAAAUGCGUAGAUAUCAGGAGGAACGCCUGUGGUGUAGACGGCUCUCUGGACCAUUACUGACACUGAGGUACGAAAGCGUGGGUAGCAAACAGG